rnacentral:rRNA from 1 species
UCCUAGUACGAGAGGACCAGAGUGGACGAACCUCUGGUGUACCGGUUGUGACGCCAGUCGCAUCGCCGGGUAGCUAUGUUCGGAAGGGAUAACCGCUGAAAGCAUCUAAGCGGGAAGCCUACCUCAAGAUUAGAUUUCCCUAGGACUAUAUGUCCUCUAAAGAGCCGUUGAAGACUACAACGUUGAUAGGUUGGAUGUGGAAGCAUAGUGAUAUGUGAAGCUGACCAAUACUAAUUACUCGUGAGGCUUGACUAU